UUGAUGGUCACAUCAGUAGAUAGUGGACAUCUGUUUUGCUCGGGGAGCAGCGUUGGUCUUUAUGUGACUAGAUUAUCCAUUCAUUAAGGAGAAUAUCACUGCAAUGAGACCAUUAAACUGGAGAUGUUAAGAGACAACAGCUUGUCCCUAAGGAUGUAAUUUAAUUCCAGAUUGGGGCAGUAAAGCACCUAAAUACCUGCUGCCCUUUGUUUUUCGAUCAAAGUUGUUUGACUUGAGGGGAUCAAGUAAGUGUUGGGUGGGGUUUAGACAGGAUGGAACUGUCCAACGUGAGCCGUCCAACAUGCCUCCAUAAAUUGGGGUCACGUCUCAUGAGAAAAUCAGAUGUUCACUAGACCUGAGAGAGGUUAGCAGAAGAUAGAGAAGACCUUAGAGAGACAGAAGGAAACGUAAGGGCAGAACAGGAGGAGCACGGACACUGAAGCCACUAUGAGAAGGUUAUAUUCUCCUGCUGUACUGCUGCCAGUUCUGCUGCUGUGUGCUGUGUGUAGUGUGUCAGACGUACAGGCUGAUGUGGGGACCGUCAAGCUGUGUGGCCGAGAGUUCAUCCGUGCCGUCGUCUACACGUGUGGGGGCUCCAGGUGGAGGAGGUUCAGCAGUCCGCAGGAUAUGGAAGGGUUUUUUAAUGGAGAUCUAAGCAGCCCUGAGGAUCCUAGUGAGAGUCUGGGAUCUGACCUGACCAGGCGAGACCUUAAUGGUUGUUGUCAGUUUGGCUGCAAGAAAAGUGACCUCACGUUGCUCUGCUGAGGACUGAACUUGCGUUUUCUAUUUGUCUCACUAUGUUUUCUUCCAAGUUGACUUCAGAUGAAUAUGAACGCUUCUCUAUAAAGUGUACAGUCAGUAGGAGUUCAUAUAACAACUUAAUUUGCCAAUAGAUUAUGCUAAUUUACAUAAAAAGCCUGUCUGUCUUAGAUCAUUCUGCUACACUUGUGCUUUAAACUGCACCAUGAAAAGAGGUUGAAUAUCAACAAUGAAAUUGUGUUGAGGUGCAGAGCAGUAAUUGUGGCGAUUAAGUUGUUUUAAUUGUAAAUUGUAUUUUGUGAAUAAACAUUAAUGCAAAUGCA